AAUGAACGCUGGCGGCAGGCCUAAAACAUGCAAGUCGAACGCCCUAGCAAUAGGGAGUGGCGCACGGGUGAGUAACAUGUGGGAAUAUGCCUUUUGGUACGGAACAACGCUUGGAAACGAACGCUAAUACCGUAUGGUCCCUCCGGGGUAAAGAUUUAUCGCCAAAAGAUUAGCCCGCACUAGAUUAGCUAGUUGGUAAGGUAAUGGCUCACCAAGGCGACGAUCUAUAGCUGUUCUGAGAGGAAGAUCAGCCACACUGGGACUGAGACACGGCCCAGACUCCUACGGGAGGCAGCAGUUAGGAAUAUUGGACAAUGGGCGCAAGCCUGAUCCAGCCAUGCCGCGUGAGUGAUGAAGGCCUUCGGGUUGUAAAGCUCUUUAGCCGACGAAUAUAAUGACUGUAGUCGGAGAAUAAGCCCCGGCUAACUUCGUGCCAGCAGCCGCCGUAACAC
rnacentral:rRNA from 1 species